GACGAACGCUGGCGGCGUGCUUAACACAUGCAAGUCGAACGAAGAGCGACGGAAGCUUGCUUCUUUCAAUCUUCGUGGCGACCGUGUGAGUAACGCGUAAUCAACCUGCCCUUCAGUGGGGGACAACAGUUGGAAACGACUUCUAAUACCGCAUACGAUCUAAUCUCGUCAUCGAGGAUGGAUGAAAGGUUGCCUCUACAUUUAAGCUAUCACUCACGGCGGGGAUUGCGUCUGAUUAGCUAGUUGGAGGGGUAACGGCCCACAAAGGCGAUGAUCAGUAGCCGGUCUGAGAGGAGGAACGGCCACAUUGGAACUGAGACACGGCCAAGACUCCUACGGGAGGCAGCAGUGGGGAAUCUUCCGAAAUGGACGAAAGCCGGACGGAGCAACGCCGCGUGAGUGAUGAGGCCUUCGGGUUGUAAAGCUCUGUUAAUCGGGACGAAAGGCCUUCUUGCGAAUAGUGAGAAGGAUUGACGGUACCGGAAUAGAAAGCCACGGCUAACUACGUG
rnacentral:rRNA from 1 species